rnacentral:lncRNA from 1 species
UUCACACCUUGAUCCAUGUGAAAGAUGAUAUUCUAAUCUUGACUCUUGAUCCUUAAGCUAUGUUCAAACUUUGGUUUCUUCAUGAAUUUCUUCCAUUUAUGCUCCCCUCUUGGUGCCUACAAUCUGGACCCUUGGAUGGUUGGAUAGCUUGGUUACUGGCCCUUGAUUUCAUCUUCAAUCUAUGGGAGAAUGUUCCAAGAACUAAUAGCCUU